UGGAUCCAGACUUUGAUUAUGGCUCAGGACGAACGCUGGCGGCGUGCCUAAUACAUGCAAGUCGAGCGAGCUUGCCUAGAUGAUUUUAGUGCUUGCACCAAAUGAAACUAGAUACAAGCGAGCGGCGGACGGGUGAGUAACACGUGGGUAACCUGCCCAAGAGACUGGGAUAACACCUGGAAACAGAUGCUAAUACCGGAUAACAACACUAGACGCAUGUCUAGAGUUUGAAAGAUGGUUCUGCUAUCACUCUUGGAUGGACCUGCGGUGCAUUAGCUAGUUGGUAAGGUAACGGCUUACCAAGGCAAUGAUGCAUAGCCGAGUUGAGAGACUGAUCGGCCACAUUGGGACUGAGACACGGCCCAAACUCCUACGGGAGGCAGCAGUAGGGAAUCUUCCACAAUGGACGAAAGUCUGAUGGAGCAACGCCGCGUGAGUGAAGAAGGGUUUCGGCUCGUAAAGCUCUGUUGGUAGUGAAGAAAGAUAGAGGUAGUAACUGGCCUUUAUUUGACGGUAAUUACUUAGAUAGUCACGGCUAACUACGUGCCAGCAGCCGCGGUAAUACGUAGGUGGCAAGCGUUGUCCGGAUUUAUUGGGCGUAAAGCGAGUGCAGGCGGUUCAAUAAGUCUGAUGUGAAAGCCUUCGGCUCAACCGGAGAAUUGCAUCAGAAACUGUUGAACUUGAGUGCAGAAGAGGAGAGUGGAACUCCAUGUGUAGCGGUGGAAUGCGUAGAUAUAUGGAAGAACACCAGUGGCGAAGGCGGCUCUCUGGUCUGCAACUGACGCUGAGGCUCGAAAGCAUGGGUAGCGAACAGGAUUAGAUACCCUGGUAGUCCAUGCCGUAAACGAUGAGUGCUAAGUGUUGGGAGGUUUCCGCCUCUCAGUGCUGCAGCUAACGCAUCAAGCACUCCGCCUGGGGAGUACGACCGCAAGGUUGCAACUCAAAUGAAUUGACGGA
rnacentral:rRNA from 1 species